rnacentral:rRNA from 1 species
GUAGGUGGCAAGCGUUGUCCGGAAUUAUUGGGCGUAAAGCGCGCGCAGGUGGUUCUUUAAGUCUGAUGUGAAAGCCCCCGGCUCAACCGGGGAGGGUCAUUGGAAACUGGGGAACUUGAGUGCAGGAGAGGAAAGUGGAAUUCCACGUGUAGCGGUGAAAUGCGUAGAUAUGUGGAGGAACACCAGUGGCGAAGGCGACUUUCUGGCCUGUAACUGACACUGAGGCGCGAAAGCGUGGGGAGCAAACAGGAUUAGAUACCCUGGUAGUCCACGCCGUAAACGAUGAGUGCUAAGUGUUGGGGGGGUUUCCCACCCCCCUCAGUGCUGCAGCUAACGCAUUAAGCACUCCGCCUGGGGAGUACGGUCGCAAGACUG